GGAGGAGCAACGAGAGGCUUUAUUGUCAGCUCGGAGCGAUGGGAGGGUGCCGGGCUGGGGGCUGGGGAAACAACAGGGCUCGCAACCGCCCCCCCCCGGGGCAAAGCGUUUCGUAAAAUCGGAGCUUAAAAACACCGUUAUUUUACAGACAGAACCCCAAAUCCAGGUCCCCAUUGUACUGAAGAAACCGCUGCAGCGAACGUGAUCCCUUAUCCCGGUGGUGGCAGAGAGGAGGAAGCACCGCCCGACGGGGAGGCAGCGCUCAGCCCACGGAGGCCAUGAUCACAUCCACCGGGAGCUCCUCCGCGCUGCGGGCCGUGACCUGCAUCGUCACCGUGUCGGUCAGCAGCAGGCGAGCCCGCAGCAGCACGUCGUGGCCGCCCCGGAACACACCUGCCAGGUACAGAGUGUGGGAGUUCUUGUUGUCUGGCACUUUAUCCGAUCGCUCGCAGGGCUGCAUCCCCAGGAACUUCACGAUAUUGCUAACCGCCUCUGUUAAGAACAAGAAGUAGAACAGGCUCUGCAUCACGGGUGCCCUGACAAGGACACACGGAGUGAUGAAAGCCCCCCCUUGCAUGUUACAGCUCAUGUAACUCGUCCUGAGGGGGGCAUAACGUUGGUGACUGCUGUGCUUUAAAAAGCCAUCAGGGAGGCAGAAGCAACACACACAAGCAAAAAAAAAAAAGAGAGAGAAAAAAGCCACCAGCACACUGCAGUUCUGUUAUUUGAUGCAGCCAAGGUGGCAGCGCAACAAGAACAGGGGAGUGAAUGAGUCAGGCAGCAGGAGAGUGCAGCUGGCUGCACGCAUACUGCACAGCCCUGUCAGCAAGCUUGCUUCUCUGGGGACAAAUACAGAAGGAAGAAGACACCUUGCAGGAGAGAGAGGUCGAGAAAAAGCCUUAGGGAGGGUACUUCAAGCCCAAGGUGCUGUGCAAGGAAAAACAGGCAUAAAGAGGUGCCCUUGUCCUGUAGCUAAGUCAUCAAAAGGACCACAUUUUUACAGCAAUAAGCUGGAUCUUUAAUAUGUGGUGAAAGGCAAGAGGGCUUUGCACCAUGAGCCUGCCCACCAACCUCGUGUCUUCUAUUUGCAUCUGUUGAGUCUCCAAGGUCAGA
rnacentral:lncRNA from 1 species